CCUACGGGAGGCAGCAGUGGGGAAUAUUGCACAAUGGGGGAAACCCUGAUGCAGCGACGCCGCGUGAGUGAAGAAGUACUUCGUUAUGUAAAGCUCUAUCAGCAGGGAAGAAAAUGACGGUACCUGAGUAAGAAGCCCUGGCUAACUACGUGCCAGCAGCCGCGGUAAUACGUAGGGGGCAAGCGGUAUCCGGAUUUACUGGGUGUAAAGGGAGCGUAGACGGCAGUGCAAGUCUGGAGUGAAAGGCGGGGGCUCAACCCGCGGACUGCUCUGGAAACUGUACGGCUGGAGUGCGGGAGAGGUAAGUGGAAUUCCUGGUGUAGCGGUGAAAUGCGUAGAUAUUAGGAGGAACACCAGUGGCGAAGGCGGCUUACUGGACUGUAACUGACGUUGAGGCUCGAAAGCGUGGGGAGCAAACAGGAUUAGAUACCCGAGUAGUC
rnacentral:rRNA from 1 species